rnacentral:rRNA from 1 species
UGAGGGAAUAUUUGGGGUCAAUGGGCGAGAGCCUGAACCAGCCAAGCCGCGUGAGGGAAGAAGGCGCUCAGCGUCGUAAACCUCUUUAGCCGGGGGACAAAACCUCCUCGUGAAGGAGGCUUGAGAGUACCCGGAGAAUAAGCAUCGGCUAACUCCGUGCCAGCAGCCGCGGUAAUACGGAGGAUGCGAGCGUUAUCCGGAUUUAUUGGGUUUAAAGGGUGCGCAGGCGGACAUUCAAGUCUGCGGUCAAAUUCCGGGGCUCAACCCCGGCCAGCCGUGGAAACUGAAUGACUUGAGUGGGCGAGAGGUAUGCGGAAUGCGCGGUGUAGCGGUGAAAUGCUUAGAGAUCGCGCAGAACUCCGAUUGCGAAGGCAGCAUACCGGCGCCUU